rnacentral:lncRNA from 1 species
UCCCGAAAAAGAUAGAUUUUGAAUCAUGGCAAUCAACCUAGAACUAGUCAACCUAUAGUGGGAUGUUUGGAUAGGCUGUGAUGACUCCCAUGGUAAAAGGUCAGUUACUGAAGGGAUUGCAGAUUCAUGGAUCGAUUUAGAAUUUUGGUUUUCCAUAAGGUAAGAGUAAAGAAAAUAAAGAAAGAAUAUAAAAGAUAAGAAAAAAUAAAAGUAUAGAUACAAGGUAGUAGUAAGACUCAAGGCUAUCUCAGCAAACCGUCUUUCUCCCCGGCAACGGCGCCAGAAAUGCUUGUUGAUAUUUGGGAACGCAAUAAGGAAUUGAUCCGCAGGCGCACGGAUAUCGGUGAGCACUUCACCCGGGAGGUUAUCCAGAGUAUCGUAUUUAUUUUUUUACCACUAGGAGAAAGAGUGCAUCUGACUAACCCGGUCUAUUACUACUAACCCUUUAGGCAACAAAGAAUGUUUCUCGAUGUGAGUGAUAAAUAGAGAAGACUGCAACCGUAGUCUCUUUCUAACCUUGGUAAGGAUGAUCUACUGUUCUAUUGGGGAGGCUAACGGAAUCUAGACACCAC